rnacentral:rRNA from 1 species
GAAAGAUGGUUUCGGCUAUCGCUUACAGAUGGGCCCGCGGUGCAUUAGCUAGUUGGUAGGGUAAUGGCCUACCAAGGCAACGAUGCAUAGCCGACCUGAGAGGGUGAUCGGCCACACUGGGACUGAGACACGGCCCAGACUCCUACGGGAGGCAGCAGUAGGGAAUCUUCCGCAAUGGACGAAAGUCUGACGGAGCAACGCCGCGUGUAUGAAGAAGGUUUUCGGAUCGUAAAGUACUGUUGUUAGAGAAGAACAAGGAUAAGAGUAACUGCUUGUCCCUUGACGGUAUCUAACCAGAAAGCCACGGCUAACUACGUGCCAGCAGCCGCGGUAAUACGUAGGUGGCAAGCGUUGUCCGGAUUUAUUGGGCGUAAAGCGCGCGCAGGCGGUCUUUUAAGUCUGAUGUGAAAGCCCCCGGCUUAACCGGGGAGGGUCAUUGGAAACUGGAAGACUGGAGUGCAGAAGAGGAGAGUGGAAUUCCACGUGUAGCGGUGAAAUGCGUAGAUAUGUGGAGGAACACCAGUGGCGAAGGCGACUCUCUGGUCUGUAACUG